rnacentral:rRNA from 1 species
UACAGAGGGUGCGAGCGUUAAUCGGAAUUACUGGGCGUAAAGCGUGCGUAGACGGUUACGUAAGUCAGAUGUGAAAGCCCCGGGCUCAACCUGGGAAUUGCAUUUGAGACUGCGUAGCUAGGGUGCGGAAGAGGGAAGCGGAAUUUCCGGUGUAGCGGUGAAAUGCGUAGAUAUCGUAAGGAAGACCAGUGGCGAAGGCGGGUCUCUGGACAGUUCCUGACGCUGAGGCACGAAGGUCAGGGGAGCAAACGGG